CAAUAGCGUAUAUUUAAGUUGCUGCAGUUAAAAAGCUCGUAGUUGGAUUUCGGGUGGGAAUGGCCGGUCCGCCGUUUCGGUGUGCACUUGCUACGCCCACCUUGCUGCCGGGGACGUGCUCUUGAGUUCACGCUCGGGACACGGAGUCGGCGAGGUUACUUUGAGUAUAUUAGAGUGUUCAAAGCAGGCCUACGCUCUGAAUACAUUAGCAUGGAAUAACACGAUAGGACUCUGGCCUAUCUUGUUGGUCUGUAGGACCGGAGUAAUGAUUAAGAGGGACAGUCGGGGGCAUUCGUAUUUCAUUGUCAGAGGCGAAAUUCUUGGAUUUAUGAAAGACGAACUACUGCGAAAGCAUUUGCCAAGGAUGUUUUCAUUAA
rnacentral:rRNA from 1 species